rnacentral:tRNA from 1 species
GACCGCGUAGCUCAGUUGGCAGAGCAUUGGGUUAGUAUUCCAAAGGUCGUAGGUUCGAUUCCCACCGUGGCCG